ACUUAUAUAGGAAAAAAGUAAUCCAUUGGUUUUAGGAACCAAACAUCUUGGUGCAACUCCAAGUAAAAGUA
rnacentral:tRNA from 1 species